GAUCAUAUAUAUGGUUCCGCGUAGCCCUAUCCAUUUUGCAUCGUAGAAAACGUGUUUGUAAAUAUUGUUCGGUUAGAGAUCGUAGCAGAGCGUUUGGUCUUUUCGAAUGCUUCUCGUUUUUUGUGUGAGAGGCCCCGGGUCCGAUUUUCGGAAUGCUCCUACUUGUAUUACGGAAUGGUGGUGUCUGGCCCACCAGAACCGGGAAAAACCACCUACUGCAAUGCAACAUCCAAUUCAUAAGCCUAAUCGCAAGGUGAUUUACAAGUUCAACGAAAAUGUUGCUAAUAGUAAUUUCUUCAUGUUAAUGGCUUCAUACAGGAACGUUACAGUUGUCAAUUUGGAUCCUGCAAACGAUGCAUUGCCGUAUGAUCUAGCUAUUAAAAUUGAAGAUCUUAUCAAACUAAUUGAUGAAAUGAACGAGCAUUCCCUUGGUCCCAUUGGAGGUCUUGUUUAUUGCACGGAUUAUUUGGAGAAGAAUAUUGGCUGGUUGCUAUCUAAUUUGGAACCUCUAUUGAAAGAUCACUACCUUCUUGUCGAGUUUCCUGAUCAGGUGGAAUUAUCUUUUCUCCAUUCAAAUGUCAAGAAUGUUAUCAUGAAACUCAUUAAGAAGUUGAAUCUUAGGUUGACUGCCUUGCACUUAGUUGAUGCCCAUCUUUGCAGUGAUCCUGGAAAAUAUGUCAGUGCAUUGCUUUUGUCAGUAUCCACAGUGCUUCAUCUAGAACUCCCACGCAUCAAUGUCUUGUCUAAGAUCGAUCUAAUUGAGAGCUAUGGCAAAGCUAGGCUUUUAACCUUGAUUUCUAUACAGACGCGCAAUAUUGUCAUAUUUGCAGCACCAUCUCGAUCAGGAUCCUCGUGCUGCUAAGCACUGGUCUUUAUUCAUAGAAUCCAAACCUGAAUUCUUCAAACCAAUCUUUGUUCUAUACUCCAUGCGUGGUAUGUUGAAUGCUUGAGUUUUACCUUUAUCAAUUCUACCCUUUCGCUCUUUUACCCAUGUACAACAUUGUGGGAAAUAGGAUGUGAUUCUGUUGAUGACAUUAAUUUCAAAUAUAAGAUAAUACCCAUCGCAAAGUUUGAUUCAACAACUGGUCAUAUGGUAAAAGAUGUAAAACGGUGCUUUGCAGAAACGAUGGUUCUUUUGUGAGAUCAUGAUCAGUCUAUGUAGGGUUGUUUGAAGGUCCAUAAUUAAAGUGAUGUACCAUUGACUGGAGAAUGAUAUUAGUUCUGGUAAACAUAUUGGUGUAAAUACCCAUUCAGUUGUUGAAUAUUUUUUAUUCGAAAGCUGUUAAAACUUUUUUCUGCAGAAAGCUUGCAAAGGAGACAUAGUAAAAGACUUCAGUGUUGUCGUUCUUACAACUUUAGACAUUCAGGCUUGUGAAUUUCUUCCCGCUUCUUUCUCAAAAGUUUGUAUAAAAUGUUUAUGGAUUUGUUUUUAGUUAGACAUUCCUUUUACGGACAAAGAUAGUGCAGGGAUUCUUGUGAAGUUGAUAGGCAAGGCCAAUGGUUACUUCUUUGCUGGCAUCGAAGACAGUGCUUGCAUUCAGCAAGAUUGCAGUUCGCUCUGUUGGUCGGGAUUACUACCGUUAUCCUUACUGUUGUUAAUGUUUAUUGUGUUUCGAUGCAGUCAGGUGACUUUAAGUCCACAGCAGCAGUGCAAGAGAAGUACAUGCAUGAAGGGUGAUGAAAAAUUUGAUUAUGCUGACUGGAAACCUUGUCUGUUGAGACAAUUCUGUAGUUUACUGGUAGAUGAUACAUAGAACACAGAUCGAGGAAGUUCGCAUCGUCCUCCCUCCACUUGUAUUCAUGUAUGAUGUAUAUAAUGAAAGACUGGAAGCUGAGCUUUUCUCAGUGAUUAUGGAUUGAGGCUCACCCCUGCACGAGGAAUUUAG